UAAGAAAGCAAGCAGAACAAGCUAUGGGGA
rnacentral:piRNA from 1 species